rnacentral:rRNA from 1 species
CCUACGGGAGGCAGCAGUAGGGAAUCUUCCACAAUGGGCGAAAGCCUGAUGGAGCAACGCCGCGUGGGUGAAGAAGGUCUUCGGAUCGUAAAACCCUGUUGUUAGAGAAGAAAGUGCGUGAGAGUAACUGUUCACGUUUCGACGGUAUCUAACCAGAAAGCCACGUCUAACUACGUGCCAGCAGCCGCGGUAAUACGUAGGUGGCAAGCGUUAUCCGGGUUUAUGGGGCGUAAAGGGAACGCAGGCGGUCUUUUAAGUCUGAUGUGAAAGCCUUCGGCUUAACCGGAGUAGUGCAUUGGAAACUGGGAGACUUGAGUGCAGAAGAGGAGAGUGGAACUCCAUGUGUAGCGGUGAAAUGCGUAGAUAUAUGGAAGAACACCAGUGGCGAAAGCGGCUCUCUGGUCUGUAACUGACGCUGAGGUUCGAAAGCGUGGGUAGCAAACAGGAUUAGAUACCCGAGUAGUC